GGGAAUUCUAUUGCUUCAGCGACACUUGUUAACGUGUCAACUUCUAGUCGUACCCAAAAAGUUACAGUAGAGAAAGAAUGUGAACCAUCUGCUGUUGACAGCUACUAAAUACAGGUCAGGCGAUACAAAACACUACAGGACCUUUACAAGAAACCAAAGCCAAAUAAAUUUGCAGUUACCCAGCUCCUUGAUCAUGAAUUUAAUGCACAGAGGUCAUUUAUAGAUUAUAUGGGAGGCUUACCCAUGCUUUAAAGAACUGGAUCAUGUAAUGGAUCAAAUGUGUUGUAUUCUUCCUUGGAAUAAUCUUAACUACAUCACAGAAGUUAAGAGCAGAUGGACCAAUUUUUAUGGAAAAGCACAGCUGUAUGGAGUAAUGAGGAAGAUCCUGAAG